rnacentral:lncRNA from 1 species
AGAUUCCGGACUCAGAAAAAGAGUUGGAACUGUGGUGUGGUUUUAGAGUGCAGGAGGAGUGAGAAGGGAUUGGGAACAGAUCUGGACCUGACACUUUGGUCACAAUGAAGAGAUGGCGAUAUGACAGAACUCUUAGGUUAACAAUGUAAACCUUCACUUUCAAUUUCUUAUACUUUUUGUCUCCAGCUGAACAAAAUAAAAGCCCAGGAGGAAGCGC